AGCAGGAAAGCAGGGGACCGCAAGGCCUUGCGCUCUUUGAGCGGUCGAUGUCAGAUUAGCUAGUUGGUGAGGUAAAGGCUUACCAAGGCGACGAUCUGUAGCGGGUCUGAGAGGAUGAUCCGCCACACUGGAACUGAGACACGGUCCAGACUCCUACGGGUGGCAGCAGUGGGGAAUUUUGGACAAUGGGGGCAACCCUGAUCCAGCCAUGCCGCGUGAGUGAAGAAGGCCUUCGGGUUGUAAAGCUCUUUCGGCCGGGAAGAAAUCGCAUGGGCCAAUACCCUGUGUGGAUGACGGUACCGGAAUAAGAAGCACCGGCUAACUACGUGCCAGCAGCCGCGGUAAUACGUAGGGUGCGAGCGUUAAUCGGAAUUACUGGGCGUAAAGCGUGCGCAGGCGGUUUUGUAAGACAGGCGUGAAAUCCCCGGGCUUAACCUGGGAACUGCGUUUGUGACUGCAAGGCUAGAGUACGGCAGAGGGGGGUGGAAUUCCACGUGUAGCAGUGAAAUGCGUAGAGAUGUGGAGGAACACCAAUGGCGUAGGCAGCCCCCUGGGUCGAUACUGACGCCCAUGCACGAAAGCGUGGGUAGCAAACAGGAUUAGAUACCCUGGUAGUCCGCGCCCUAAACUAUGUCAACUAGGUGUUGGGUGGGUAAAACCAUUUAGUACCGUAGCUAACGCGUGAAGUUGACCGCCUGGGGAGUACGGCCGCAAGGUUAAAACUCAAAGGAAUUGACGGGGACCCGCACAAGCGGUGGAUGAUGUGGAUUAAUUCGAUGCAACGCGAAAAACCUUACCUACCCUUGACAUGCCAGGAACUUGCCAGAGAUGGCUUGGUGCCCGAAAGGGAGCCUGGACACAGGUGCUGCAUGGCUGUCGUCAGCUCGUGUCGUGAGAUGUUGGGUUAAGUCCCGCAACGAGCGCAACCCUUGUCGUUUAUUGCCAUCAUUUAGUUGGGCACUUUAACGAGACUGCCGGUGACAAACCGGAGGAAGGUGGGGAUGACGUCAAGUCCUCAUGGCCCUUAUGGGUAGGGCUUCACACGUCAUACAAUGGUCGGUACAAAGGGUUGCCAAGCCGCGAGGCGGAGCCAAUCCCAGAAAGCCGAUCGUAGUCCGGAUUGCAGGCUGCAACUCGCCUGCAUGAAGUCGGAAUCGCUAGUAAUCGUGGAUCAGCAUGUCACGGUGAAUACGUUCCCGGGUCUUGUACACACCGCCCGUCACACCAUGGGAGCGGGUUCCGCCAGAAGUAGGUAGCCUAACCGCAAGGGGGGCGCUUACCACGGCG
rnacentral:rRNA from 1 species